UCCUGGCUCAGRACGAACGCWGGCGGCGUKCCUMAUACAUGCAAGUCGAGCGGACAGAUGGGAGCUUGCUCCCUGAUGUUAGCGGCGGACGGGUGAGUAACACGUGGGUAACCUGCCUGUAAGACUGGGAUAACUCCGGGAAACCGGGGCUAAUACCGGAUGGUUGUUUGAACCGCAUGGUUCAGACAUAAAAGGUGGCUUCGGCUACCACUUACAGAUGGACCCGCGGCGCAUUAGCUAGUUGGUGRGGUAACGGCUCACCAAGGCGACGAUGCGUAGCCGACCUGAGAGGGUGAUCGGCCACACUGGGACUGAGACACGGCCCAGACUCCUACGGGAGGCAGCAGUAGGGAAUCUUCCGCAAUGGACGAAAGUCUGACGGAGCAACGCCGCGUGAGUGAUGAAGGUUUUCGGAUCGUAAAGCUCUGUUGUUAGGGAAGAACAAGUGCCGUUCAAAUAGGGCGGCACCUUGACGGUACCUAACCAGAAAGCCACGGCUAACUACGUGCCAGCAGCCGCGGUAAUACGUAGGUGGCAAGCGUUGUCCGGAAUUAUUGGGCGUAAAGGGCUCGCAGGCGGUUUCUUAAGUCUGAUGUGAAAGCCCCCGGCUCAACCGGGGAGGGUCAUUGGAAACUGGGGAACUUGAGUGCAGAAGAGGAGAGUGGAAUUCCACGUGUAGCGGUGAAAUGCGUAGAGAUGUGGAGGAACACCAGUGGCGAAGGCGACUCUCUGGUCUGUAACUGACGCUGAGGAGCGAAAGCGUGGGGAGCGAACAGGAUUAGAUACCCUGGUAGUCCACGCCGUAAACGAUGAGUGCUAAGUGUUAGGGGGUUUCCGCCCCUUAGUGCUGCAGCUAACGCAUUAAGCACUCCGCCUGGGGAGUACGGUCGCAAGACUGAAACUCAAAGGAAUUGACGGGGGCCCGCACAAGCGGURGARCAUGUGGUUUAAUUCGAAGCAACGCGAAGAACCUUACCAGGUCUUGACAUCCUCUGACAAUCCUAGAGAUAGGACGUCCCCUUCGGGGGCAGAGUGACAGGUGGUGCAUGGUUGUCGUCAGCUCGUGUCGUGAGAUGUUGGGUUAAGUCCCGCAACGAGCGCAACCCUUGAUCUUAGUUGCCAGCAUUCAGUUGGGCACUCUAAGGUGACUGCCGGUGACAAACCGGAGGAAGGUGGGGAUGACGUCAAAUCAUCAUGCCCCUUAUGACCUGGGCUACACACGUGCUACAAUGGACAGAACAAAGGGCAGCGAAACCGCGAGGUUAAGCCAAUCCCACAAAUCUGUUCUCAGUUCGGAUCGCAGUCUGCAACUCGACUGCGUGAAGCUGGAAUCGCUAGUAAUCGCGGAUCAGCAUGCCGCGGUGAAUACGUUCCCGGGCCUUGUACACA
rnacentral:rRNA from 1 species